rnacentral:lncRNA from 1 species
AAAAAAUGAGGAACGAUCAUGGCGGGGCGGAUACUAUGGUUCCUUAGGUCGUAUUUCAUGGCCUGGAAUAAUUUUAGGCGAUCCGGCUCCGUGGGGCCCUACCCAUUGGGAAGGCGUGGGCUAUAGCACACGAAAAUAUGGGAAUCGCGCGGAAUUCUAGUUGUUUGGCCGAAAAACACAAAAAAUAAGGAACGAUCAUGGCGGGGCGGAUACUAUGGUUCCUUAGGUCGUAUUUUAUUGCUCGGGAAAAUU